rnacentral:rRNA from 1 species
AGCAGCCGCGGUAAUUCCAGCUCCAAUAGCGUAUAUUAAAGUUGUUGCAGUUAAAAAGCUCGUAGUUGAAUUUCGGGGUUAGUAGGUUGGUCAUGCCUCUGGUAUGUACUGAUCUCACUGAUUCCUCCUUCCUUAUGAACCGUAAUGCCAUUAAUUUGGUGUUGCGGGGAAUUUGGACUGUUACUUUGAAAAAAUUAGAGUGUUUAAAGCAAGCUAACGCUUGAAUACAUUAGCAUGGAAUAAUGAAAUAGGACGUUCGAUCUUAUUUUGUUGGUUUCUAGGAUUGACGUAAUGAUUAAUAGGGAUAGUUGGGGGGCAUUAGUAUUCAAUUGUCAGAGGUGAAAUUCUUGGAUUUAUUGAAGACUAACUACUGCGAAAGCAUUUUGCCAAGGAUGUUUUCAUUAAUCAAGAACGAAAGUUAGGGGAUCGAAGACGAUCAGAUACCGUCGUAGUCUUAACCAUAAACUAUGCCGACUAGGGAUCGGAUGAUGUUAAUUUUUUAAUGACUCA